ensembl:lncRNA
CAAAACCCAAACUUGUUUAAGCCAGUAUAAAGAAAAUCGUUAGCUUAUGACCAUCAUUUAUAGGCACAAACAAUAUUUUCAUUGUCCUUUGUGGUGUCAGUCUCAUCUACAGGUUCUUCCAUUGACCCAUCAACUUGUCACAGAUGGCUGUGACUAAAGUGGAUGCCUGGGUACCUAAUAUAAUGAAUAACCCCAAAUGAAUCAUAAACUUAAGUGUAAAACUAGAAAACAUUUAGAAAAAAAUAUGAGACAAACUUAGGAAUCUAGGGAUAGAGAAAGGAGUUCUUAGACUUAUCAAAGCAUGAUUCAUAAAAGGAAUAAUUGUAAUAAUGGUGCCUUAUCAAAAUUAAAAACUUUGGCUCUGAGGAAGAUGCUAUUAAGAGCAUAAAGAGACAAGCCACGCACUGGAAGAAAAUUUUUGCAAACCACUUAUCCAACAAAGGACUGGUAUCUAGAAUAUAUAGAACUCUCAACUCAACAGUCAAAACAUAAAGAAUGAAAGGGAGGAGAACCCAAUUAGAAAAUAGGCAAAAGAUAUUUCACUGAAAAGAAUAUAGAUGGUAAAUAACCAAAUGAAAAGAUGUUCAAGAUCAUUAGCCAAUAAGGAAAUGCGAACUAAAAGCACAAUGAGAUAUUACUACACACCUUACAGAAAGGCUAAAAUAUAAAAUAAUGACAACACUCAGUGCUGACAAGGAUGCAGAGAAACUUGAUCAUUCAUACAUUGCUGGUGAAAAUGUAAAAAAUGGUACAGCCUCUCUGAAAAACAGUUUGGCAGUUUCUUACGAAACUGAACAUGUUACUACUAUACAAACCAGCAGUUAUAUUCUUGGGCAUUAAUGACAGAGAAAUGAAAAUUUAUGUUCAACCAAAAGCUUGUAUAUAAAUGUUUAUAGUAGCUUCAGUUUUAAGAGCCAAAAACUAGAACGAACCCAGAUAUCCUUCAACAGGUGAAUGUUUAAACGAUCCUAGUACGUCUAUACCAUGAAAUACUACUAAGCAAUAAAGAUGGACUGUUGACACACUCAACAACUUGGAUAAAUCUUCAGGGAAUUAUGCCAAGUGGAAAAGCCAAUCUCAAAAGGUUACAAACUUUAUGAUUGAAUUUGUGUAACAUUCUCAGAGGGACAAAAUUAUAGAAAUGGAAAACAUAUUCAUUAGUGGUUGCCAGGGGUCAGGGAUGGCAUGAGAGGGCUAGGGUAAGCAGUUAUGUGGGGGUGAUUAUGAAAGGACAUCAAUAAGGAGUCUUAUAAUGGAACUGAUCAGUAGCUUAUCUAUAUCCAUGUCAAUUUCUUGGUUGUGAUGUUUUACGGUAGUUUGGCAAGAUGUUACCAUUGGGGGAAAUUAGACAAAAGGUGCACAGUGUUCUGGACUGAAUGUGUAUGUCCCUUCCAAAAUUUAUAUGUUGAAACCCUUACCCAGUGAGAUGGUAUUAGGAAUUGAGGCCUUAGGAGGCAAUUAGCCUUCUAUGUUCUAUGAGGUCAUCAGGGUGGAGCCAACAUAAAUGAGGUUACUGCCUUUGUAAGAGUCAUGAGAGAGCUUGUCCUCUCUCUGCUCUCUGCUAUGGGGGGAUACAACCAGAAGUUGACAGUCUGCAACCCAGCAGAGCGUUCUCACCAGAUCUCAACCGUGCUGGCAGCCUGAUCUUGGAUUUCCAGCUGGCAGAACUUGCUAACCAAGAUUUCACCAACAUAAUGAUUCAUAUCCGUGACAUCAAAUUUUGAUUUAUCUCCUGGUGAAACAGAAAACAACUUUCAGUGAGACUUGUGUGUCUGAGAAUUCUUUUGCCUUCAUAAAUGUUUGUGAAACUAAUUGUUGGUACAAGUCUUGAUUAAAAAAUGUUAAAUUCAGAUUGCUGUGGAUGUUGCUCUGAUUUGGUAGCACUUAUGUUCUUUGGUUGCCAAAAAAAGACUCAGAUUCAGCUAAUUCAAGUAAACAUAAAAGAGGAUUUAUAUGAAGGAUAGUAAAGUAGUUAAUGCUGAACAGUAAAGUCUGAGGACAGACAGAUCAAGGCAACACUGGGGCUGACAGCAGGAGUUCAGGGCAUUCUCAGCAGGGUGCAGCCUUAAAAUAAUAUAAUUCAGUAAACCCUCAGCAUCUCCAUUAUAGAGUAAUAUUUACAGGAGUGAAUAUUAUCUGUGUGUCAGGGGCUUGAGAUAUUUUGAUUGAGCCAGUCUGCAUCACCUACUGCCUCUCCCCGUUGCCAUAGAGAUUGGGAUUGGUUCCCAGGAGAAGGGGUAAUAGGCAAGCAAAAACAAUAGAAAUCGUUCUACAAACCCUACCUGUCUAAAGUCUUAGGCAAGCACUAACCCACUCCUUUUUCUAUAUACACAAUUCCUAAAAUGUUCUUGUUUUACACAAUGUACCUGCCACACAUGCAACUGAAAAUAAUCUUAUUUCAUUUAUAGUAUGAGAAAACCAAAAGUGAUUUUUGGCUACUGCUUCUGAAGAUGAUACCUGUGUUCUCUGGGUUCUGUCUAUUCCUCCUGUUGUUCUCUCCUCCUGUUGUCAGGAUCUCAAUAUUCUGUGAUCUGUGGACUAAACCAACACACUCUAUAUUCAAUAGUGGAUAAAAGCAAGAGAAAGAAAAGAAAUAUAUAUAAUAGAGUAAGCAAUGCUGUGAAUGAUCAUGGGAAAUAAACUUAUUACUGAUUUUUUUUCUAAUUUCUAUUUCAUAUAAUUUUAUCUUUGGCCAGAAUAUUCUCACGUCAUAUUUCUUUAUUUUUUAUCUUGUGACUUGAACUAAGUUAUCUGUCCCUUGAUGUUUGAGCCUCCAGGGGUCUUAUUACAUUGUCUUAGUUAAUAUUUAUUAUCAGGCCUGUUAGUACAUGGAGACAUCCUAGACUAUUCCUUGGAUUUCACCCAUAUUUCAGUAACAAUAUCUCUACUUCUCCUUGGUUAUCAGGUUAGUCAUUCUAGCAAAAUAUGUAGCUCUCUUCCAUCGCCAGCAGCCAUGAGAAGCUAGGUAGAAAUAUUGCUUUACUGGAUUAAAAAAAAAAUCUGGAACAUGAUAGACCACCAUCCUACGGCACAGAAAACAAGAUUUUGAGAUGUAAUAUUAGGUGUGAAAAUGAGAAGUACCAAAACCUUAUUCUACCCUUUAUUUUCUGGAUUCAUCUGUUCAUAGAUUUAGCAUUCUGGCUGAGGAAAGGAGAGCAACAUAUAUUUGUCAUGGGUUUAGAUUAUAAACAUCAUUUGACAGAAAAGCCAACCUGACUUCAUGGGAUGUUGUCUCUCUCCUGGAGCUAGAGCUGAAUAUGCAUUAAAUUUUUAUAAAGCCUGUUGUUUCUGUCAUUGGAGCAGUAAAAUUAAUGGUUAUCAACAGUGCAUUUUCUUUUAUAUCAAGUAAAUUUCUUAGUUAGAGACAGUACAUGCAGAAUAGCAUGAUAAUUUAUGAGGCAUUUAGUUAAUCCAGGUUGGAGGUCCCUGGCCAAGCAUGAUUAGUCUGAAAACAAAAACUCCACAUCUAGAAUAAAUUUCUGUCUGAUAAAGAAAAAUCUUCACCACAACUCCCACAUAUGGAAGGGUUCUAGUGUAAGCAUUUUGAAGCCAGCAUGUACUUGGCUGUUCACCUGAAAUAUGGAGCCAUAUUGAGAAAUCAUGCUUAAUUAUUUUUGCUAGUAAUUGUACAUUGAUAAGUGUGACUAAGUUACCUUGAGAAGAGGAAAACUCUUUUUUAAAGUUCCUCCCCACCAUCAUGCACAUUUUAAUCAUGAGCUCAUUAUAUAAGUUUUGGGCUACCUGGGAAAGAAGAUAGCUGACAUCUAAAAGUUAAUCUGGUAUACCUGAUUAGUAAAGUAUUUUUCUAAAGGGACAGACAUACUUUUAUGUUCUGGGCUCACUCCCAGAGGAGCAACUAUAGGCCUCUUCCAAAAAUUUCUUUUGAUCAAUUAUCUAUUUGCUCAAAUUAUUUGACUUUUUAUUUGAUCAUAACAACAUUCAUUUGUAAUCUACACAAACCACCUGGGCACAGCUCAAUGGAUUUUCACAAACUGGACACGUUGGCUCAAGCAGCACUGAGAUCAGUAAAUAUAGUAUUACACAUACUGCAGAAGGCCCCCAAUAUUUUUCUUUUAGUUUCUGUACCCACAAGAGUAACAACUCCUGAUUUUUAUUACCACAGAUUGGGUUUGCAUGGUUUUAAAUUUUAUGUAAAUAGAAUCAAAUAGUAGUUUGUCUUUUGUGCCUGGCUUCUUCAGCUCGACAUUAUAUUUGUGAGAUUCAUCCAUAUUGUUGUGUUUAGUGACCAGUGAUUUAAUCCUUUUUACUUCAAGUUAUCCAACCAAACCAUUACCGAUUGCCCAAGAGUCAACAUAGAUUGUUAUUCCAGGCAUCAUUCCUUCUACACUUAGUGGAUGUAGAGUUCAAAGUUCUGCCUCUUAUGAGGAUUUCCCUUCUCUACUCAUGGUCAGGGCCACUCUUAAGAGAGAAAGUCAAAGUUGUCUAUUUCUCAAUAGUGCUAACUUACAGAAUAGAAAUAUGUAUAUAUUUGUAUUAUAUUUGCAAUUUUUAAUGCUUGAUCCUACAGUUAUUAGUAAUGGCUUAUAGUUUGAGGUUGAAGGAGGGGAGGCCCUCUUCCAGUAGAUAAUAUCCUGAGGGUGUGAUAAACCUAUUCGUAUAACUCACUUGUACCUUCAGGGCCUGCUAGGGACUGUUUCAUAUAUGCUCUUGCCACACAAUGGUGCAGUACUUCUGGUCAUGCCCAAGUUUAUGGUUAGGCAGAUCAAAAAGCACUGAGAGGGGCUGGCCCCGUGGCCAAGUGGUUAAGUUCGCGCGCUCUGCUGCAGGUGGCCCAGUGUUUCGUUGGUUCUAAUCCUGGGCGCGGACAUGGCACUGCUCAUCAAGCCACGCUGAGGCAGUGUCCCACAUGCCACAACUGGAGGGACCCACAACGAAGUAUAUACAACUAUGUACCGGGGGGCUUUGUGGAGAAAAAGGAAAAAAUAAAAUCUUUAAAAAAAAAAGCACUGAGAACAUGAUGCAAGCUUAUAUCGUUUGGUUACAAGUCUACAUAUGCAAUUUUCCCUGAGAGAAAAGUAUUCUUUUUGCUUUGUUUUAUUUUUAAAAAUUAGAAUAUUCAUUGUUAAAGGUGUUUUUUAAAAAACAUCCAAAUCUCAGAAUUACCUGCUAAUGACACUCUUAUCAAUGUGUUCCAUAUGAUACUGAUCUUCCCUCAGCACUUUCAGCAGCAUUGGAUCUGUUAGAUCAUGAAGAAAGUGUAAUAGACCUGCUGACUUUUUAGUCUUGACCAUCUCAAUUGCUUUGUCUUUCUCGGAACUCCAGUAAAUAGUAAAAGAUUUUUAAAUAGAGUAAAUGGUAAGAGUUGGACAACUCUUUUGGAUGUAGGGUUUAAGGAACAACACAUCCUUCACUUUGGAGAGAAAAUGCAGGUGUGUUGUGAUCAGCAGAAUUCCCACAAGUCAUAUACAUGUCCUAUAUAAUCUCCAUUAGCAUGGAUGAAAUUUGUGAAUAUGAGAAAGGUAAUUCUGUGACGAAAAGGUGGGUCUCAUGUAGUUACAAGAGCCAUUUAAAAGUAGAAGGGAGUCAAAAGAUAAAAAUAAAAAAAAAAAUAAAAGUAGAGAGUUUUCUCUGGCAACAUGCAGAGAGACACGUCUCAGAGAUGCUCACCUGCUGGCCUGAAGGAAAGCAAUAGCCAGAUUGUGAACUGCCUAUGGGGGGCCAUAUGGCAAAGAACUGCAGGUGGCCUCUAGGAUCCAAUAAUGAUAACUGACUGACAUCUAGCAAGAAAACAGGGACAUCGAUCAUACAGUAUCAAGAUGAUUUCUGCUGAAAACCAGUGAGCUUGGAAGAGGACCCAGAGCCUCCGAAGAGUAUCACAGCACUGUCCGGACACCUUCAUUUCAGUCUGGUGAGAUCUCAAGCAGAAGAUCCAGAAAAGCUGUUCACCGAUGCCUGACCCAUGGAAACUGUCAGUUAAUAAAUUUCUGUUUUUUUAAGCUUCUGGGUUUGUGCCGGUUUAUCACACAGCAACAGAAAACUAGUAUACAUGCUCUGGACCAGUGAGAGUACUUACAUUUUCAAGAAAUCUAUUUUCCUUUCUUCUCAUGUGUGUUUUUAUUGUGGCACAAAGGUAAUUUGCUAAUCCUGCCUUCACUUUGAGUUAUUCACAAUGAGUAAGUGUCUAGCUUGGCAUUGUACUGCCUGGAGCCAAAUCCCCCUCAGCUUUUUCUUAGCUGUGACUGGGGGCAAGUUACUUAACAGCCCUGUGACUCUUUCUCCUCAAUUAUAGCAUGAAGAAUAUAAUAUUAACUCUUUCAUAGGGUUCAUGUUGAGAAUUAACUGAGUAUAUUAACACAUGUAAACAAUGAAUGUUAGUUACUGUUAUUGUUAUUAUUCUAGCUUUAGAUCCUAUCAACAUGAGAUCAACAAUGUAGUGGAAUAGUAUGAAAUCCUACAGGUUGAUGAAUCAGGUAAGGUUGCUGAAAACUGUAUUAUGGCCCAGAACUGGAGGGUAUAUAUCCCAGAGGCAGAAUAUCCCAGAGGCAGUUCCAGCCAGGUGCAAGCAAGCUACUCUGCUUUAAUUUGUGUUGCAAUGAAAGUGUAAUCGCCGGGUCAAUAAAAGCAUACCGGUUGCCAAGGCAUAAAUGUGUGUGCUCUAAAAAGCAGAAUACGUCUGGAUAACAGGCACAGUUGGACUUAUUAAAUGAUAAGUUUACAGUAAUUGAUUAUUAAAGAUUUAUUAGUCCUUUAUAGUAAUCAAAGUAGUCGAGAGAAUAAGGAUAUGCUAUGAAUCACAGGACAGGCACCUUUCAAGUUUUUGAAGUUUACACAAAUCUUCAACUCCCUCAGGGAUAGAAAAUAGAAAAAAUUUGUUUUUCUUAUUAUGAACAUGUGUGUCCAUUCUAUCAUAAAUUGACUAGACUCCAAAAGUGAAGUAGCCAAAGUGGAAGUUCUGCUGUAGGCCAAAAAUCCCAUUCCACUUACGCACUCAGAAAUUGAUAAAAAUAUCACAUUGGUUUCCCAAACUCAGUGCAAUUAAUGGGAAGCAAAUUCUGUUAGAAUUUAAAUUAUCGCCUUUCUACUCACAAUGCCCAUUAGGUAUAGUGAACUUCAUUUAAAUUCUCUUUCCCAGGAAUUAGUAUUAGCUUGAGGCUUAGAUCCAAUUGACCUUUUAGAGUUUUCUCUUUAUAAUUACAUGGGAUAAAGCAUCUGAUUUUUUAGGAGAAGGAUACAAGGAAGACUAAAGGAAGGCUAAAAAUCUGCACGCGUGUUUUCUUAAGCCUGUUUUUUUUUCAAUUCUUAUUGUUUUUUAUUUGGCUUUCUUAAAGCUUUCUGGGCUCCUAUUUAUUUGGCAAAUUUUCAUUUAUGAAUUGUUAGAAUCUAAAGAUUCUGUGACAGUGACUAUUAUGAGUACUCAAAUUAGGCCUUUUUGAUAUUUGAGGAAAAGUCUGAAGGAGGUAAGGGAGUAAGCUACAUGGGUAACUGUGGAUAUAACUGUCUGGACAGAGGAGAUAGCUUAUGCAAAGGUCCUGAGGCUUGUUCAAGGAACAGCAGCAAGACCAAGGUGGCUUCACUGGAAGAAAAAGUAGAAUAAUAGUAAGAGAUGAGAUCAGACCUAUAAAAAGGGCCCAGAUUGCAUUGGACCUUUCAGCCUUUUUAAAGCCUUUACUUUUAUGCUGAGUAAUAGGAGAAGCCAAACAGUGGUUUUGAAGGUACGUUUGACAUAGUCAAACAUAUGUUAAUUGCAUCAAACUGGCUGUUUUAUGUAGAAUAGAUUGUGGAGAGAAAGAGAAGUAAUUUAAGAGGUGGUUGCCUGCAGUCCACACUUGAGGUACCUAGGAUUCCUUUGGUUUUAAGCAACAGAAUCCAACCUAAUCAAAAACAAAUUUAAGAUAAAUUUAUUUAAAAUAAAAUAAAUUUAUGUAUAUAGGUAAAUAUGUAUAAGGUAUAUUAUAUAUGUAUAAUUGUAUAGGGUUUAUUGAGUAACGCCCUGGAGUAGCUCAAAGAUUUAAAGAACAGAUUAUUCAAGUCAAAUGUUGCAAAAGACAGAGAUCAGGCAGUUUUGGAGACUUCCCCAGCAGGAGUUUCCAAUACUCUUCUCUGUGGUGCACUGUAAAAUAAAGAACAUUCCAGCCUUGAGUGUCCACUCGUGACUGAAAUUGUUGAAAGUGAAAAAAGCCAUGGCUCAGCUUGGGUCAAGAAUACUCCUCAAAUCUGCCACUGAGGACAGAAAUGCUAGUGACUGUCAUUGGCCCAUCCUCAAUUACAUCUCACCAUUUUGGCUCAGCAAGUAGGGUUUGCUUGCUAAGGAAGAGAUAGAAAUCAUGGCAAGCAAAGUAAAAUCAUAUCAUAUCGUAUUGUAUACAUAGUUAUGUAAUUAUUGUACAGAUGACAAAUUUAAGAGCAAAGGUAUUUCUACUUUUAAACAUGCUUAUAAAAUUAUAUAUGUAAUUAUCAUAAUUUACAUAGGAACAUUUUAAAAUUAAUUUUCUUAUUUAAAAUAAGUGAAUCUGAGUAUUGACAAAAGAAUUCUCUCACUACUAGUUUAUUGCUUGUGAAUCUACUGUGUUUGCUCUGUUUUAUUUUGGGGAACAUCAUUUUUUUGUGUAUAAUAUUUAUCAGCUGCCUUCCUCAUGUUUUAACAUUCUUUUUCAUGAUUUCUAUCACUUUCAUUUUUUUCUAUAGUGUUCAUGUUUCUCAAAUUUCUCAAAGUUUAGAUUCCUACAUAUGCAUUAUUACAAAGGAUCCCAUUUCUUGUUUACUCCUUCCAACAACAUUAGUUCAACUAUUGGCUGAUAUUUCUCUUCACAGCUGUAUUCUAUGAUGGUGAAAUAAUGAGUAAAUAUCUGUUAGGUUAUUUUUCUAUCUUAUAGUACAUGUAUUUAUGGCGGAAUAAUAACAACUAAUAUCAAACUUCAACACGUGAUCCUCAAGACACAUUUUUGUUUAUUCGUACUUGAAUAAAAAGACAUUGAUCUGGUACUAGAAAACAAACAUGGUAUCUAGAUUGUGCAUGGUCACUUGCAAUCAAUAUUGGUGCCAAUAGAAUCCCAGUAGGUAUUCAUAAAUCACUAGCUUGCUUUCUAGAAAACCUACUUAUGGAGGCAAUAGAGCACAUUUUUGGUCAUUGACAGUUUCCUUAGCUAGUGCCACCAGUAUUGGAUUUUUAUUAUAUUCUCCCAGAUUCUCUUUAUGGCAAGUUUUUAUUUUUUGGUCUCAGGAUUGACAAAUUUAUUUUUCCUAUUUAUAGAAUUUUCUAGGAAUUAUAAACAUAAAUUUGGAGAAUGGGUUUUAAAAACUUUCCCAUAAAUUGUUUUUAUUUCUCUUGAGGGAGUUUUCCUAUUAUACCAUGGAAAGAAAUCGAGAGUUGUAAAAUCUGUUCAAUCUGUUGGUCAAAUGGUGUAGUAAAUGCCCUACAGACUUAAGUGGUAAAACCACUGGGUUAACCUCUAGAAACGGAUAUCAUUCUUUCUCCCCAAGUACAAGUAGAAAAACAUGGAAAAAUAAACCAAAGAUCAUAUGUUGAAUACAAGAAACAGAUAGUAUUAGUAUUCAUUUGGAAACCAGAAGGACAGAAGCAAGUAUAUGGGGCAGUGUUUUAGGCAUGAAGAAAGUAGGCAAGUCAGGACUUGAGGAACCAGGGUCCCAAAGAGUAAGGAAACAGACUUAGGUGAGCCCAGCAUCCUGUGGCAGUUUCCCUCACCAUAUUUACCAGUUAAACAUGACGUGGGACCGAGUGGCUAAAAGGUUGAGCAAGAAGUAGUACCCAGGGACCAAGAAACUUAGUUGAACUUUCAGCACCCUCAUAGGACUGAGACAAACAGUGAUCAUGACUACUGGCACAGCCAGCACUUGAAAAGCCAUGAUUUUCAAGAGAAAGGAAGUACGAUGAGUCCAAAUCUCUGCACUUUUUCCUCCAGACAUUAUGCAAUUCAUAAGCAUCCAGUAAGGUAAGAAUCAGUAAACAACCAUAAGAUGGCACAUGGGCCUGGUUAGAUAAAAAUUAGAGGUCAAGCCAAGGAGGAGAAGUCUUAUUAAAAUAUCCCAAGUAGAGCCCUGAGAAGCACAGUAGGAGCAAUUGCAAGUAAGAAAUAGAUCAACUUUCAAAACAGUUUUAUUUCAGACUGAAGUAGGAGGUAUGUUACUACUCUAAUUGCUUAUCACAAGAAAAAGUAAAUAACUCUGGAAGAUGGCAGUUUAGCUGAGCUUCAGGUUGACUAUACAAUUUUUCAUACAUGAUGCCUAUCAUACAAUAAAGCAAUUUUCAGGAAUGCUAGGAGAUGGGACCAAAUUUAUAAAAUAUAAAAAAUAGACUUGCAGGUAAUCUAGAUCUUAGGGCUAUCAGAGACUUAUUUUAAAAUGAUUGUGGUUAAUAUAUAAAGAAAAUAAAGUCAAGACAUUAUAUUUUAUGACAGAACUUAAAAAAAGAAUCAAGUGAUGCUUUUAAAACUGAAAAAAAUAGUAUCCAUAAUUAAAAGCUGAAGAAAAGCUUAAUAACAGAUUAGAAGCAGCAGAGAAGAGAAUUAUAGUAUGCAAAGGUAUAAUGAUGGAAAAUUUUCUGAUGGAGGCCAUGGAUGGAAAAUACAGAACAGGCCCCAGCCCCGUGGCGCAACGGUUAAGUUCACACAUUCCACUUCAAAUCAAAGAAGAUAUUUCCAAUAUGUUUACAUGAAAGGACACAUAACAAGAUCACUCAAAGAAUGUAUAGAAAUGGAAUAUGCUUCAGCAAUUAAAAAGAAUUAAAUUCUGAUAAAUUCAAUAAUGAGAAUCAAUCUCACAAACAUAAUGUUAGUCAAAAGAAUCGAACAUAACACAUCUUUAUAGUACGUUCAUGUCAAUAUAAUUACAGUUAUAUAAGUUUUAAUAACAAGCAAUAUUAUUUAUCUUAGGAGUCCCCAGUGCGAUUGUCUUGGUCAGGAAGUUGGGUAGUGACUAUAAGGGGACACGAGGGUGGAUUCUGGAAAGCUGGAAGUGUUCUCUAUCUUGAUCCAUAUGUGGUGAUUAUAUAAAUAUCUUCACUUAGUAUGCAGUCACUGAGCUAUAUAGUUAAGAUUUAUUUUAUUUUUUAUAUGUAUAUUAUACUUGAAUAAGCAAGUUCCUUAAAAGUGGCCAUGGAGCACCAUGCAAACUUUAAGAUGAAAUGAUGUACAUUUUACAGAAUGUUACCAAGAAAUUUUUAGUUUGAAAAAAAAGUCAUGUAUAAAUGUAUAAUAAAACCUAUUUUGUAUAAAAGGGAGUUUUGUACAUGCAUGCAUAAGUGUAAGUAAAUGCAGUGGUAAUGACUGAAAAGAUGCGUAAUAAAAAUGCUAACAGUCUUUUUUUUCUGGGGAAGUGAGUGCAAGUAAAGAAAGGUGAAAGAAGAUUUCAAGUUUCUCAGAAUUUAUUUUUUAUGUUUUUGAUUUUUUAAAUGUAUUUAAUCUUUUAUGGAACUGUUUUAAUGUAUGACUUGUAUAUUGAAAAGGGGUUGGGGUAAAUAUUCAACAAAAUUAUCAUGCUGUUAUGGCAGGACCUUUGCCACUGUUUGUGAAUCAAAAUGCUGAGAAGGUAGGAUACAGAGACAGAUUAGAUUGAUAUCUAAAAAGAAAUCGUGGAAAGCAUGAUUUAAUGUCCAGGGUAAUGUCUCAGUAGCAGUGAAUAUUCACUGAUUAGGAAAUAAUCAUCAUCAACCCACUUUGGGCUCACCUGACACUAGAGCCUACAACUCUGUUUUUUGAACUAUAUUUUCUUUUUACUAAUAUUUUUCUAAGUUUCACUAUUGAAAUCAAUAGAAUCAACAUUCUGGAUUUUUCUAAGUAGUCGAUUGCAUUGAAAAGGCUAAUAUAUGGGCUGGCCCGGUGGUAUAGUGGUUAAGUUUGUGGACUCCACUUCAGUGUCCUGGGGCUCACAGCUUCAGAUCCUGGGUGCAGACGGACCUACACACCACUCCUCAGGCUAUGCUGUGGCAGUGUCGCACAUACAAAGUGGAGGAAGGUUGGCACAGAUGUUAGCUCAGUGACAAUCUUCUUCAAGCAAAAAGAAGAAGAUUGGCAGCAGAUGUUAGCUCAGGGUCAAACUUCCUCACCAAAAAAAAAAAAAAGUAAUAUAUGGUUAGAUUUGUAAGCAAAAUAAUGUUCUAAACCAAAAUUUCCUGAUUAACUCCUUUUGAUUUUAAAUUUCAACUUCAUUCCCAUGAUUCUGACCAUAAAAAUUACAGACACGCCAAAUUAAUAAUACACCCCAUCAAAUGGUUAUUACUUUACUUUCCCCAGCUUCAUGGCUGCAGAGCUAUUUCAGGAUUUAGUAUUCUUAAUCACUUUUAUUGAUAAAAACAUGUAUAUUUAGUCUAAGUGCUCUAAAACAAUACAAGUAUUUUUUUAAAAUAAAUAUUUUAAUUCAUUGAUUAUUAUUAUUAAAUUUUACUCUACAUAGUUACUUGAAAUUCAGAUUGCAUCAGGCAAUCGAUGUAUAGGUAAUUUCACUUAUACCAACCACUUGUUUCCUUUGGGCUAGAAAUGAUACAUAGUAGAAAUAUUAUUAAAAUUUUAAACCUUAUGUUUCUUAAAGUAGUUAAUUGUUAUUUGCCUUGGUAUUUGAUCAGCUUAUUUGUGAUCAGCCGUGUGGAUCUGGAUUAUCUUAAGGUCACAGUAUAAAACACAAUUUUAAAAAUAAUUGGUAAUGCCCAUUGUUAAUAUUGGCCAUUGUAAUCUUGCAGAUUAUUUAUUGCAUCAAAAGUUUAAAUCAGAGUCCACUAACUGGCUACCAGUUUCAUUAGAAACUUGCUGAGUUUCUAAUAUGUAAUUUAUUUGUAAGUGACCUCAUUAGGAAAUAUAUUAAAAUAGUAUCUAUGUCAACAUUUUACUCUAUAGUUAAAAUAUAAAGAGUAAGAAUAUUUUUUUAUAUAACUUUAUGACUUGGCUUUAUUUUACUGAAUAUGUAACAGAGCUCUGCAGCUUGAUUCAAAUUCUUUAGUUAAAUGGUCACAGGUUAAGAUUCACUAUGUGAACUUUGUUUCAUGGUAAAUUUUUAAUGUCUAUUGUCAACAUGUUCUUAGAAAUAGGAGAGGCAAUUUGAAGUAAUUAGAGAUGAUGUUAAAUAAUUUUCUGAGAAAAAAGUCAAUCUAAUCUUAUAUUUUAUAUAUCUUUCUGUUUCUCUAUUUAAUUGGUUCUUAAAUGAAAUGCAUAUGUUUG